rnacentral:rRNA from 1 species
GUGGGGGAUAUUGCACAAUGGGGGAAACCCUGAUGCAGCGAUGCCGCGUGAAUGAAGACGGCCUUCGGGUUGUAAAGUUCUGUCGCAGGGGACGAAACUGACGGUACCCUGCAAGAAAGCUCCGGCUAACUACGUGCCAGCAGCCGCGGUAAUACGUAGGGAGCAAGCGUUGUCCGGAAUUACUGGGUGUAAAGGGAGCGUAGGCGGGAGGAUAAGUUGAAUGUGAAAUCUACAGGCUUAACCUGUAGCUGCGUUCAAAACUGUUCUUCUUGAGUGAAGUAGAGGCAGGCGGAAUUCCUAGUGUAGCGGUGAAAUGCGUAGAUAUUAGGAGGAACACCAGUGGCGAAGGCGGCCUGCUGGGCUUUUACUGACGCUGAGGCUCGAAAGCGUGGGUAGCAAACAGG